CCAGACUCCUACGGGAGGCAGCAGUGAGGAAUAUUGGUCAAUGGGCUUACGCCUGAACCAGCCAAGUCGCGUGAGGGAAGACUGCCCUAUGGGUUGUAAACCUCUUUUGUCAGGGAGCAAUUGGCGCUACGUGUAGCGUUAUCGAGAGUACCUGAAGAAAAAGCAUCGGCUAACUCCGUGCCAGCAGCCGCGGUAAUACGGAGGAUGCGAGCGUUAUCCGGAUUUAUUGGGUUUAAAGGGUGCGUAGGCGGUCUGUAGAGUGAGGGUGCAAGGCGGGGGGCCACCCCCCGCCCCGCCGUUGAAACUGGCAGUCUCGAGUUGGAGAGAAGUAUGCGGAAUGCGCGGUGUAGCGGUGAAAUGCAUAGAUAUCGCGCAGAACUCCGAUUGCGAAGGCAGCAUGCCGGCUCCACACUGACGCUGAGGCACGAAAGCGUGGGUAUCGAACAGGAUUAGAUACCCUAGUAC
rnacentral:rRNA from 1 species